UACGGAGGGGGCUAGCGUUGUUCGGAAUUAUUGGGCGUAAAGCGCGCGCAGGCGGUUUCUUAAGUCUGAUGUGAAAGCCCACGGCUCAACCGUGGAGGGUCAUUGGAAACUGGGAAACUUGAGUGCAGAAGAGAAAAGCGGAAUUCCACGUGUAGCGGUGAAAUGCGUAGAGAUGUGGAGGAACACCAGUGGCGAAGGCGGCUUUUUGGUCUGUAACUGACGCUGAGGCGCGAAAGCGUGGGGAGCAAACAGG
rnacentral:rRNA from 1 species